GCAUGAAAGUGUGGCUAAUACGGGAUAUUUCUGCGCCUGCUGCAUGGUGGGUGUGGGAAAGAUGCGCCUUUUGGGUGUAUUUGGUGGGGGAUGGGCUCGCGGCCUAUCAGCUUGUUGGUGGGGUGAUGGCCUAACCAAGGCGGUGACCGGGUAGCCGGCCUGAGAGGGUGGACGGUCACACUGGGACUGAGACACGGCCCAGACUCCUACCGGGAGGCAGCAGUGGGGAAUAUUGCACAAAUGGGCCGCAAGCUUGAUGCAAGCGAACCGCCGCCGUGAGGGAUGGAAGGCCUUUCGGGUUGUAAACCUUCUUUU
rnacentral:rRNA from 1 species